rnacentral:rRNA from 1 species
GAUGAACGCUGGCGGCGUGCCUAAUACAUGCAAGUCGAGCGAACAGACGAGGCGCUUGCUCCUCUGACGUUAGCGGCGGACGGGUGAGUAACACGUGUAUAACCUACCUAUAUGACUGGGAUAACUUCGGGAAACCGGAUCUAAUACCGGAUAAUAUAUUGAACCGCAUGGUUCAAUAGUGAAAGACGGUUUUGCUGUCUCUUCUAGAUGGAUCCGCGCCGCAUUAGCUAGUUGGUAAGGUAACGGCUUACCAAGGCUACGAUGCGUAGCCGACCUGAGAGGGUGAUCGGCCACACUGGAACUGAGACACGGUCCAGACUCCUACGGGAGGCAGCAGUAGGGAAUCUUCCGCAAUGGGCGAAAGCCUGACGGAGCAACGCCGCGUGAGUGAUGAAGGUCUUCGGAUCGUAAAACUCUGUUAUUAGGGAAGAACAAAUGUGUAAGUAACUAUGCACGUCUUGACGGUACCUAAUCAGAAAGCCACGGCUAACUACGUG